UAUAAAAAUAAACUUCCGCAAAUAGUGUAAGAAAUUUUUAUUUUAAAAUUAUGGAAAAUGAGAAAAAUGCACUUUAUGCACGAACCACAGUGGAAAUAUCAAAUAACGUCAAUGCUGAUUUAAUUAAAAAGCCACGCCAGACGGAACUCAACCAGAAACCGCAAUGGGGAAAACUUCUAUCUCUGGUAGGUUAUGCCACUACAUUUGGUUCCGCCGUGCCGGUAGGCUAUUGCAUUGGCGUCAUAAACAGUCCAGCGAAUUUGAUAAAAGUUUGGUGUAAUGAAACUCUGAUUACUCGGUAUGAUGCUUAUUUAAGUGAGUCCGGUAUUGAUAUAUUAUGGUCUUCGAUCGUUUCGAUAUUUUUAGUGGGUGGUGCCAUUGGCUCGCUAGGUGGCGCUUGGGCUGCUAAUAAAUUCGGCAGAAAAGGCUGCUUUUUAAUCAGUGGUCUACUCUUCACAUUAGGUGCCUUGAUGUUUUUCUUUUGCCGUUUGGCAACUUCCGUUGAAAUGUUGCUAUUGGGUCGUCUACUCGUAGGCUUAGCGUCAGGUCUAACCACAGCAUCACUGCCAAUGUAUUUAACGGAAGUUGCACCACUUGCUUUGCGUGGCACAUUUGGCGUCUUUUGUGCAGUUGGCGUGACAGGAGGUGUAGUGGUUGGUCAAGUUUUCAGUUUAAGUCAAGUGUUCGGAACUGGAGAUCAAUGGCACUAUGCUUUGAGUUUUUACAUAGUACUUGUAGUAAUAUGUUAUGCUCCAUCGUAUAUUUAUCCAGAGAGUCCAAAAUAUUUAUAUAUUGUGAAAAAAGAGCAUGAGAAAGCACGUAGAGAAUUGAUACGUUUACGUGGCAUUGAAGCCAUGGACGCAAUUAAGAACGAAAUUGAAGAAAUGGAAGUUGAAGCUAAUAACAAAGUACAAAGUAGCGGCUUUUGCGCGGUUUUACGAGAUCCUGCAAUGUUAUUACCAUUAGUUAUUGUAUGUUGUUUUCAUGGUGGUCAACAAUUGAGCGGCAUAAAUGCAAUAUUUUAUUAUUCAGUAUCAAUUUUUGAAAAGGCUGGACUUACAACUCCUCAAGCCGAAUGGGCUAAUCUUGGCGCUGGUUGCCUUAAUUUAGCUACCUCAUUUCUUGGGCCUGUACUAAUGGCCAAAGUAAAUCGCCGUCCGUUAAUGAUGUUCUCCAGUGCGAUAUGCUCGGGCUUCCUUUUCGCCAUUGCCUUCAUUUUAUACUAUAUCGAAACUGCCAAUUGGUUUGCCAUUGCUUGCAUUGUCUGCAUCAUGGGCUACAUAUUUUUCUAUCAAUUCGGUCUUGGUCCUAUACCAUACUUUAUCGGUGCAGUAUUUUUCAGCAUUUUCAAGAAUAUACUCAUAAUACCAUUGUAAUAAUGAAAAUGGAGAAAAAAUAUAAUAUCCAGCAAUUUCAAACCGUAGUUUCAGAGCUAGAGAAAAAUCCAGACUUAGCAAAAGGAUUUCGUAAAGACAAAAUUCUUACUGAUGUCAAGCCAACUUGGUAGAAAAUGGGCGUAAAAUUAAGUCUGGAAAAAUCCAGACUUUGCAAAAGGAUUUGGCAAAGACAAAAUUCUCACAGAUAUCAAAACAUCAGUGGUUCUAAUGGACCACCAAUUUGGAAUAAUAAUAGUUGGUAGGAGGUCCGGCAAGAUUUAUAAGUAAAAAGAAAAUGAUAGAAAAUAGAAUGAAGAGAAUGAAUUGCAAUUGGAGGAGACAGGUUAAAAGCAUUUGUAACUCUCUCCAUUCGAAACCCUUAUCAUUGUAACUCUCUCCAACUAUGACAAUCCAAUCCAACAGUUGAACCCCGAAAGCAUAAUGGUUGAACUUGAAACUGUGCUACAGGAACCAGAAUGUACGGUGGGAGAAGAAAUACGCGAAGUCGAAAAUGUGUGGAGAAUUUAAAACUCCUACCAAGCCACUUGCUAGAAAAGCAAAACAAUCAACAAGAAAUAGAUUUAAAUAAGAUGUCGCAAUGAUGUCUGUUAAAAAUACUUUAGAAGAUUCUAGGCUUCAGGGAAAAUUAGCAGGGAUUCAAGAAAAAUAAUUAAAACUAUUGGCAGAGUGAAACCAAAGAGAGUAGAAGAAGUUAUUCCAAAUUGAAAUGAAAUUUUAUUUCUGGAAUAAGAAAUAAUAUGCACAUAAAAGA